AUUAGGAGAUGCAAGUAUAUAUGUGAGGCCAGGUGAUGCAUCCUUGCGAGGGUUCAAAUUGAUGGGUUACCGUACAUGGCUAGGAAGGCUGUGAAAGGCGUCCAUAUUUCAAGUUUUGUUUCACCUAAAGACAUUAUCAGGGAUUACAUCUCCAAGGUACGUGUUGAGCUUUCUUAAACUACAGUGCAAUCCCAAACUUUGUUUUUUCUUUUUCCUUUUUGGUUUUCAACAAAUAGAGCUGUUUCUGUUUGCCCUAAUUAACAAAAAAAUUCUUCGAUUAUGCAGCAUCCAGAGGAAAUAGCUGAAACAUAUGAUGAUAUAAAACUACCUGCAUAUGGACAACUAGGGUUGCGGGAUUGGGAGAGAAGAAUGAGAGCGAGGUAGUUGAGAUUCCAAAAGGCCAGCCAACUCCAUGCCUGCCGCUCCCAAAGGACCUUAAACAUGUAAAUAAAAUAGGUUUAGGUUUAGAGUACACCUACAGCUGAAAUAUUUUUGAGAUUGCCUUGGCUUAUUUAACAAACUUCUCACGUUGUUAUUUUCUUUUGUUCAUGUAGGUAAGUGCAGCUACAGCUUCCACGCUACUGGAUAUGAUUAGUGGUUUGAACACCCUUCUAUUGCAUUAGAGCAUGGAAGCAAAGGAUGAGAUCGAAAGGCUCAGGAAGGAGAAUGUAAGAUUGACCAUGUUCAAUUCAUUGCCUAUUGUUUGCAUAUACACUUAUACAGAGCCGCUUAAACUGCUUGUAUCUAAUUUGAACUGAUUUUUUUUUGUUUGAAGGAAGAGCUCCGUGCAAGUGCAAAGCUACUUUUGGGAAGGUGAUAUUGUGAAGGAGGAUAACUAGCUAGGAUGAUUUUUGGGUUGAGUCCUUUGGGUUUGAUACAACGAGAAAGAUUGAAUAUUCGACCAUCAAAUUUCCGGAAAUGAAAAAGAUUUUUCUCUUGUAACUUUAAUGUUGUCUUAGAUAACAUGAGUUUGUAAGAAAUUCAACAUAAUGUAAAAUGAAGAGUGUAGAUUUCAGUCCCGAAUAUUGAAUGCCGGUUUAGAAAGAGAAUUUGAGAGAAUACAAAAAUAGAGGCAAUUAUUUUUUUCUUCUGGCUGGAUUUUUUUCUUCGUGUCGGUGUAUCAUUUUAUUUCAAUAUUAUGUCUGACCUCCACUUCACUAAUAUUACUACUUGGAGUGAGCUAGCUACCACUAUUUCUCAGCACUUAUUUCUUGUCCAACUAGCUAGCUAGCUUUUAGUUCUUUCCAGCCAAAAUUCUAAUGGAUUCGCAAAGAGUUCCCUUGCUGAGCAUCAAGGCCGAGCCGGAGCUCGACUAUGCUCCAUUGAAGACCUUCGGGGAGGGCAUGUCUGUUUGUUGGAAGGAGUCUGUGAAGCUGUGGAAAGUUGCAGCUCCGGUGGCUUUCACGACUCUCUUUCAGUACCUCAUCCAGUCCAUCACCACCAUCUUCAUCGGACAUCUCAGAGAUCUUGAGCUCUCUGCUAUUUCUCUCGCUCAUAAUGUCAUCCACGCUAUCGCCUUUGGCUUCCUGGUUAGUUUGCAUCUCUAUGGGAUGGGAUCAAAUCCUAUCAAUCAUUGACUCGUAUUGCUUUGUUUGUAUACGCAUUAUGUGUACUUAUUUAUCUAUGCAUUAUUGUUUGCAUGUGGAGUAUAGAUUCUCUCACGAAUUGAUAAGAAGAUAUUUUGAAAUAAUACCUCGUUAGGUUUACUGUCAUUUUCUAGAGUAAAAGUACGUAAAUUACAUUUCACUCACAGAAAAUUACGGUGGUUUACAUGACUGAAAAUACUAUGACGAUCGACUUGCUGCUGUGUAGAGUUAUUUUUUUUUUCUGUUCGAAUAACAUGUACAACCUUCAGUGACGGUAUAAGACUAACGUACGUACGUUCUUGAUCUUCUUUGAAACGGAAGGUACAAAUUCUAUCUUGAUUAUCUUGUAACAGUCGGUUCCUAAGUUUCUCAAGCUCCAUUUCUGAUUUUGGAACACCGAAAGUGCUCACUAGGAAGUCACUAGAGGUCACAGAACAUCAAUUUUGAUAGGGAAAGGCUUAGUAACAAUGCAAAUCGAACUUGCAUAAACUGUAAGGAUUUGACAUAAAUGGGAGAAAGGGGCAAAAUAAUUUACUCCAUUACUAGAUGUCUAGAUUCAGAGAUAUGAAAUAUGUCUUGGACACACGCAUGUUUAUGGUAUCUUUCUUCAUGCGAGAGAGAGAGAGAGAGAGAGAGAGAGAGAGAGAGAGAGAGAGAGAGAGAGAGAGAGAGAGUAGUAGUUACGUUAGUACGUAGUACGUACGUACGUACGUACGUAGUAGUAGUAGUAACGUAACGUUAAACGUUUAAACGUUUAAACGUUUAACGUUUAACGUUUACGUUUACGUUUACGUUACGUUACGUACGUACGUACGUACGUACGUAACGUAACGUAACGUAACCGUAACGGUAACGUAACGUACGUACGUACGUACGUAACGUUACGUAACCGUUAACGUUAACGGUUAAGUUAACGUUAACGGUAAAGUAACGGUUAACGUAACGUAACGUUACGGUAACGUAACGUAACGUAACGUAACGUAACGUACGUAACGAACGUAACGUUAACGUUAACGGUACGUUAACGGAACGUAACGAACGUAACGUAACGUUACGGUAACGGACGUAACGUACGUACGUAACGUAGUAGUACACGUANAGUACGUACGUUACGUAACGUUAACGUUACGUACGUAACGUACGUACGUUAACGGGUUACUACCGUUAACCCGUAACGUUUACGGUACGUUUUACGGGUAACGUACGGGUAACGUAACGUAACGUUAAACGGUUAACGGUAAACGGUUUACGGGGUAACGUUAACGUUAACCCGGGUUAACGUAGUUUUUACGUUAACGGGGGAAAAACGUUUUUCCCCCGUAAAAACGUAAACGGUUUUACGAAACGGGGGUUUUUACGUAAGUAGUUGGGUAUAANANAGAUNUAAUGAGUANANANAGAUNANGUNAUGAGAGAGAGAGAGAGAGUGAGUGAAGUCUUUUCAUGGCGUGCUAAUAGCAUGAGGCAUAAAAAUUAAACUUCAUUUGAUGGUUUUGACCUGCACAUUGUGAACGCAGAAAGGUAUGGCAAAUGCACUUGGAACGCUUUGUGGACAAGCUUAUGGUGCAGGCCAAAUCGACUCACUUGGUAUCUAUAUGCAGUGCUCAUGCAUCAUCCUAACCAUUACUUGUUUUCUCCUCUUAUCACUUUUCAUUUUUGCCACUCCAUUCCUCAAGAUUUUAGGCCAACAAGAAAGUAUAGCCGAGUUUGCUGGAAACUGCAAUCUGUUGAUAAUCCCUCAGAUGUUCUCCUUUGCCAUCAAUUUGCCCACCCAAAAGUUCCUUCAAGCUCAGAGCAAGGUUGGCGUCAUUACAUGGAUCUCCUUUGUGGCUCUAGUCACACACACAUGACUCCUUUAUCUUUUCAUUAGCGUACUCGGCUGGGGGGUGAAUGGUGCAGCUGUAGCUUAUAACAUCACAUACUGGGAAGUUGCAGUUGGUCAGUUUGUGUAUGUUGUAUUUUUGUGCAAGGAAGGUUGGAAUGGAUUUUCAUGGUUAGCAUUCAAAGACAUCUGGAAUUUCGCUAAGCUGUCUCUUGCCUCAUGUAUGAUGUUUUGCCUAGAGAUGUGGUAUACUAUGAGUAUGAACAUUCUCGCCGGUCAACUUGAGAAUGCAGUGAUUGCCCUCGGUUCCUUCUCAAUAUGGUAAGUGCAUCACUAUUAAUUUUGUCCCUUGUUCGUAUUCUUUGUGUUAUAAUUUGUGAUAACGAGUCAAAAGUUCUUUCUGUUUUUCUUUUUUGAUUAGCUUGAACUUUCAAAGUUGGGAAACCAUGAUUUUGGUUGGAGUGAAUACUGCUAUAAGGUAAAUGUUUCUAUGUUUCUGUACUAAACUAUGAACCAAUUUUCUAAAAAUUAGCCGCCUAGCGCCUUGUAGACCUUGGAGAGAAACCACAAAUCGGCACUCCUAGGUGGAAGAGCCUCUAAGCGGGUCUAGGAGGUAUGAACUGUUUCCAUUUUUCUGGACUUUCUAUGAUAUCUUAUCAUCACAUUGGUAAUUCUCCAGCAUUCGAGUCUCAAAUGAACUUGGAAUGGGGCACCCAAGAGCGGCCAAAUACUCCAUAUGUGUUGCAGUCUUGCUAUCUCUCGUCGUUGGUCUUGUGUCUAUGACUUCUAUCUUCUUAAGUAGAGACUACAUUGCCAGUGUUUUCACAGACAGCAAAGUAAUGCAACGAGCUGUUGCUCAUUUAGCAUACUUUCUCGACGCAACCAUGCUUCUUAAUAGUGUUGCAGAAGUUUUGACAGGUUAACUUUUAGUGCAGCUAGCUUCUNNNNNNNNNNNNNNNNNNNNUUCCAGAACCAACUGGGACACUGAGGUCAGUAGAUCAAGCAGAAUACCAUUUACAGAUAACAAAAGUCUUCCUUUUGGAUAUUGUUGUUCAGCUCAUAGUUGAUUUCUAUAUAUUUCAGGUGGAGCAAACGACAAAGCCCAUAAAGAAAUGGGGGAGCAAAGAAAUAAGAACUGAGAAGAAGAUGGAUUGCUGAUACCAAUAUAUGAAGUUUCCUACAAAAACAUUAACAUGAAAAGCUAACAUUGUUGCAGCAUAGAUUUAAGGAGAAACUCAGGUGUAAGUUCCCAAUUUUAUUUCUAGAACAGUAUAGGCUCAUGUGCCAACAUGCUCCCUCAAUCAUUUCUGUGUUCAAAUAAAGAAGGGGAAGCUGAGCAGCUAUCAUGGCAGCCAGUUCACAUAGUUGAUUAAGUUAAGUGAUAGAGGGUUAGGCUAGCUAUUUAGUCGUUGGUGUGGUAGCUAAUUAGAAUGGUAUGAAAGGGGAGAAUGUACAUUGUAUGAAUACGAUUGAUGUCCUUGAUUUCAAUCAAUGAGUAUCACAAAGAAGUUUGAGGCUUCCAUUCCAUAAGUGGGAGGUGAAGAGUUGAAGAUUUCUUUAUUGUUCUACUGUUUACUGCAUAGCAAUGAGAAAAUGUUCUGGUAAAUGUCUGAACUUGUCACUCUAGCGGAAGAUGUCGACUAUACUUCUUUGACAGGGAGACAUACAUUACUUUAUGGGAUCUGUUACUUUGAGAUCUCUGUUUGUAACCAUAUGUAGCUACCUCAAGUCAUAACCUUGUAAUACUAAUACUGAUUUCAGUACACAAAUCAUAUAACAGAAAAGUCCUUACUGGUCGUUUGAGCUACUAUUGGCAUGGCUUCUGAUUUGUGAAGGCCUCAGCUGAUCUCUCUGCCGGUUAGAUUCUCUGCUACCAAAAUACAAGUGUAAAGACAAACAAUACACUCGCUCAAUCUAUAAUCCAACCCAUCUGAAGCAAAUUUAAUUUAUGAUGCUUAUACUUCUAAUGUUCCCCUAUACACUUUCUACUUUCACUGAUACAGUACUAAAACUUCAGUUUCUGCUUAAUUUAGUGAUCUUCAAUUUCUGCAUUUGCAAUGUAGUUAGGCAUUUUGGGGUGGCAUAACAAGUGGAAGAGCGCUCUUCAAUUCUCAUUCCUAUUGAUCAUAACGGAAAAUCAAAGAGGCAAUCAGGUAGAAUCAUCAGUUUCGGAACCCUUAAUAUCAUGAACUAACUUCUUAAACAUUUGUACUGCUUGCGUGAUAUGCAUGUAAAAUCUUGUACACCUACAAAUGAGUUAAGCCAUAUGUAAAUUCCACAGUAAAUGUGUGUAUGCAUUUUGUUGCAGUUGAUGAUGGAAAUUCUAUUAUAGGUAGCUUACUGAGAAAUGUAUAUGAUAAAAGGGCCUAAAAAGCUCCCUCAAGCUGCAUCAAAUUUAUGGAACAGAAAGAUUAAGGUAAAUAACUAAAUAUCUAAAUAUCCAAAUUCUUUCUAUAGGGACCAUACAUGAAACUACGAGUAUGAAUGUUCACCAAACAGUUAUUCGUUAUCCUCUGCCUAGCUGUGGCAUUAAAUCUCACAACUAAUAUGUAAUGAUUUCAUCGAACUAGAAUCUCUUAUCACAAGUUGCAUAAUUCAAAUAACAAAUAUGUCGUCUGAUUGCAUAAUAUGAUACCAAAAUAACUGUUGUCGUCCUAUAACUUUAUGGCCAUAGUGAUCUGAUAAAUGAUUGGGACUGAAGUCGGUCAGAUGUUACAAUUUCAAGAACAAGUUGACCACAUUCAUGCCGGAAAAAUAAGACUCAAGGCACCAUUUUCUAAGGUUGAGAUUCUUGGAUGAGAUUCAGAUAUUUUUUGUUACGUUGUCGACAUGAUGACUAACCAACCCACACAUGACACAUGCACGUCGUAUAUUCAUGAUAGUCAUUCCAAAUCAUAUAUGUUUGAAGCAACAGAAACCAACAACGAGAAUCCCUACCUCACUUUACUACUACUUUCUAGGAGUGAGCUUUCACUAUUUGUCGGCACACAUUUCUAGUCCAGUUAGCUAGCUUUUCUUCCUUUUCAGCCAAACUUCAAAUGGAUGAUACGCAACGUUCUCCCUUGCUGAGCAUCAAGGCUUCACUGGAACCCGACUAUGCUCCGGUGAAGACCUUUCAGGAGGGCAUGUCUGUAUGUUGGAAGGAGUCUGUGAAGCUGUGGAAAGUUGCAGCUCCGGUGGCUUUCGCGGCUCUCUUUCAGUACCUCAUCCAGUCCAUCACCACCAUUUUCAUCGGACAUCUCGGAGAUCUUGAGCUCUCUGCUAUUUCCCUCGCUCAUAAUGUCAUCAACGCCAUCGCUGUUGGCUUCCUGGUUAGUUUGCAUGUCUAUGGGAUCAAAUCCUAUCAAUCAUUG
rnacentral:lncRNA from 1 species